rnacentral:rRNA from 1 species
AGUGAACGCUGGCGGUAGGCCUAACACAUGCAAGUCGAACGGCAGCACAGUAAGAGCUUGCUCUUACGGGUGGCGAGUGGCGGACGGGUGAGGAAUACAUCGGCAUCUACUUUUUCGUGGGGGAUAACGUAGGGAAACUUACGCUAAUACCUCAUACGACCUACGGGUGAAAGCAGGGGAUCUUCGUACCUUGCGCGAUUGAAUGAGCCGAUGUCGGAUUAGCUAGUUGGCGGGGUAAAGGCCCACCAAGGCGACGAUCCGUAGCUGGUCUGAGAGGAUGAUCAGCCACACUGGAACUGAGACACGGUCCAGACUCCUACGGGAGGCAGCAGUGGGGAAUAUUGGACAAUGGGCGCAAGCCUGAUCCAGCCAUACCGCGUGGGUGAAGAAGGCCUUCGGGUUGUAAAGCCCUUUUGUUGGGAAAGAAAAGCAGCAGGUUAAUACCCCGCUGUUCUGACGGUACCCAAAGAAUAAGCACCGGCUAACUUCGUG